rnacentral:lncRNA from 1 species
CCUUUUACAAUAUAUUUUUUUAGGCUAUUCAUAGCCGAUUUAUAAUGUUAUUUUUAUAUUUUCUCUACUGUUCUUGUUGCUUGUCUGUUCUUCUUUCUCUUUUUUGCAGGUAGUGGUUGACGGCGGUGGCAGAGUAGUUGGUGGUGGUAGGUUAGGGUGCGGCCGCUAGGUAUUAGGGUUUUUUUCUGAGAAAACAGUUUAGGUCGUUGGGCUUAUAAUUGGGUCUUAGGAUUUUUUAAUUUGGGCUAUUUAGACUGUGUAUUUAGGCCUUAUAUGUAAUUGGAUUGGGACUAUUUAUUUUUAUUUUUAUUUUUUUGGUUGUUGUUUAGGGCCCAGCAAAAUUGGGCCCUUACAAUUAUCCUUCUAGGUAUUUUUUUUAAAAAUUUCACUCAAAAACAUUAAUCUUUAAAAAAUUUUAACCUAUUCCGAAAUUAUUAAGAAAUUGAUUUAGUGGUAGAAAGAAGAAUAAAAGUUUAUUAAAAGGGAUAAUAGCAACAAAUCUCC